UCUUAUGGAUGAUCAAAGAAAGUGGUUUCUUGAGAUAGAAUCUUCUCUUGCUGGAGGUGCUGUGAA
rnacentral:pre_miRNA from 2 species